rnacentral:rRNA from 1 species
GGGGAAUAUUGCACAAUGGGCGAAAGCCUGAUGCAGCGACGCCGCGUGGAGGAUGAAGGCCUUCGGGUCGUAAACUCCUGUCUGGGGGGAUGAAUACUGACAGUACCCCCGGAGGAAGCCCCGGCUAACUACGUGCCAGCAGCCGCGGUAAUACGUAGGGGGCGAGCGUUGUCCGGAAUUACUGGGCGUAAAGCGCGCGCAGGCGGCUUGUUAAGUCAGGUGUCAAAAUGCGGGGCUCAACCCCGUAUCGCACGUGAUACUGGCAGGCUUGAGUGCAGGAGAGGGAAGUGGAAUUCCUAGUGUAGCGGUGAAAGGCGUAGAUAUUAGGAGGAACACCAGUGGCGAAGGCGACUUCCUGGACUGUAACUGACGCUGAGGCGCGAAAGCUAGGGGAGCAAAC